rnacentral:misc_RNA from 1 species
UCCGAGUUGACCCCGGCAGUCUCCUAUGAGUCCCCACCAUCACGUGCUGGCAACAUAGAACGAGGGUUGCGCUCGUUGCGGGACUUAACCCAACAUCUCACGACACGAGCUGACGACAACCAUGUACCACCUGUGAACCAGCCCCAAAGGGGAAGGACUGUUUCCAGCCCGGUCCGGUCCAUGUCAAGCCUUGGUAAGGUGGGGAUGACGUCGGGAAUGUCGAUA